GCAUGGAUUCCAAAUCCCCCCCCUCUCUCUCUCGAUUCACCAGCUUGCUACACUCUGUAGAACUCCAGAGAUGUUUUCCCAAUAGGCCCUUUGUUUUAUGAUAUUUAAAGCUCUCCUACGCUACUUCAAUCUUCAUGGUUUCCAAAAUACUUUCCACUCCCUGAUCUAUUUUUCUGAAAUGUUUUGUUAAGGAAUAGGGAAACAGAAGCGGGGCUGGGGGUGGGUAGAUGACUUUUCUGAAAGACACGUUACAAAGACUUAGGCAAUCAACUUAGACCUAAAAGAAAAGUCAUGACUUGAGCGUAGCAUGUUACAACAAUACAGAUUUUCCUUCACUUCAUUUACUGUAGUCUGACUCCUCAGGGAGGAGUUUCAUGAGUGUCCUCAGGGGCUGAGGAAAUUGCCAGAUAUUACUGUGCACCCCACUGAUGGCUCUCCUAUUUUCUUAAUUCCUUGAUUUUUUUUUUUUUGGUUUUAUUCCUUAAUUUUUAAUUGUUCUUCAUGUCUCAGAAACGCCUGGCUGCAAAGCAUAGUUACCCAACAUGCUCUUCUCUGUGUUAGGAGCCCUGAGGCUGUACAUCAUCCUAGAGCAGAUGUCAUCAGCCUUCCUAAUGUUGCAACCCUUUAAUAUGGAACUGUAUGUAUUAUGUAUUAUGCUGUGGUGACCUCCCACCAUAAAGUGUUUUUGUUGCUAGUCCAUAACUGUAAUUUUGCUACUGGUAUGAGUCAUAAUGUAAAUAUCUGUUUUCUGAUGGUCUUAGGUGACCUGUAAAAGGGUUUGGGGUCACUACCCACAGGUUUGAGGACCACUAUUCUAGAUUGGAGUGGGGGCUACAUCAGCAAAAAGGGAACAGCCCUCCUCCAUCCUGGGAAAGACCCCGUAUCAGGGAUCAUCCUGAUGGCUAUAGGUAGGCUUGAUGAGGACAGGGUUGGGGGGGUUGGGGGAUGGGAGAGGCUUUCUAGAUGCUCCGAGUGGUUACUAUCUGAAUCUUUUAGAGGUAGGCUCAUGUGUGUGAACACCCUAUGUCCAAAUAAAUGAAAGCAAACGUCAGACCGGGAGGAACUGAAGUCAUGGAAGUAGGGGCCCAGAUUCCAAGUCUAACUUGACCAUGAUUCAGUUGGCAAAUGGGUCUCUUCUGAUUUAAAGCUUUGAAACCCUGAGAAAUUGCAUGAACGGCUCUAUGGUACUGUCCAGAUCCUUGGGUGGGAAGUGUCUUCCUGUGGAUUUCUAGUAUUUUUUAAAUAAUUGGAUUAAUAUUAAAAAAUUUCUUCUAGAAGCUCAAGUGGAUUUAUAGUUGCAUUCGUUCUUUAUGCUCCUCACAGUAAAUUCAUUCUGAAAGUAUGCUGUGUAUUCCCAGGAUCAAAAAGGCAAGAUGUCACUGGUGUGGCUUCUCUGACGAUCCACAGAUAUGGAAACACAGGAUGAGCGGACACUCACUGCCAGGGAGCUGAGGGGAGCCAUGACCUAUCCAGUUGGCUCAGAGCCAGUCUUCCUAAUGUUCUCUUAUACAGAGGACUGGUUCUUACUGACCCAACAAAGCCCCAAGAAUGAAGCUCUGACCUCCCCUCUUUAGAACUCAUUGUUAUUGAUACAUCUCAUAUAGGCAGGAUGUC
rnacentral:lncRNA from 1 species